rnacentral:rRNA from 1 species
UACGGGGGGUGCGAGCGUUGUCCGGAUUUAUUGGGUUUAAAGGGUGCGUAGGUGGCUUUUUAAGUCAGUGGUGAAAUACAGCCGCUUAACGGUUGAGGUGCCAUUGAUACUGGGAAGCUUGAAAUAAUUGGAGGCUGCCGGAAUGGAUGGUGUAGCGGUGAAAUGCAUAGAUAUCAUCCAGAACACCGAUUGCGAAGGCAGGUGGCUACGAUUUAUUUGACACUGAGGCACGAAAGCAUGGGGAGCAAACAGG